UGGAAGUAAAAAGUCGUAACAAGGUCUCCGUAGGUGAACCUGCGGAGGGAUCAUUACACAAUAACAAGGCGGGCUGGACACCCCCCGCUGGGCACUGCUUCACGGCGUGCGCGGCGGGGCCGGCCCUGCUGAAUUAUUCACCCGUGUCUUUUGCGUACUUCUUGUUUCCUGGGUGGGCUCGCCCGCCCUCAGGACCAACCACAAACCUUUUGCAAUAGCAAUCAGCGUCAGUAACAACGUAAUUAAUUACAACUUUCAACAACGGAUCUCUUGGUUCUGGCAUCGAUGAAGAACGCAGCGAAAUGCGAUACGUAGUGUGAAUUGCAGAAUUCAGUGAAUCAUCGAAUCUUUGAACGCACAUUGCGCCCUUUGGUAUUCCAAAGGGCAUGCCUGUUCGAGCGUCAUUUGUACCCUCAAGCUUUGCUUGGUGUUGGGCGUCUUUUGUCUCCAGUUCGCUGGAGACUCGCCUUAAAGUCAUUGGCAGCCGGCCUACUGGUUUCGGAGCGCAGCACAAGUCGCGCUCUUCGCCAGCCAAGGUCAGCGUCCAGCAAGCCUUUUUUC
rnacentral:rRNA from 1 species